GAUGAACGCUGGCGGCGUGCUUAACACAUGCAAGUCGAACGAUGAAGCCCAGCUUGCUGGGUGGAUUAGUGGCGAACGGGUGAGUAACACGUGAGUAACCUGCCCUUAACUCUGGGAUAAGCCUGGGAAACUGGGUCUAAUACCGGAUAGGAGCGUCCACCGCAUGGUGGGUGUUGGAAAGAUUUAUCGGUUUUGGAUGGACUCGCGGCCUAUCAGCUUGUUGGUGAGGUAAUGGCUCACCAAGGCGACGACGGGUAGCCGGCCUGAGAGGGUGACCGGCCACACUGGGACUGAGACACUGCCCAGACUCCUACGGGAGGCAGCAGUGGGGAAUAUUGCACAAUGGGCGAAAGCCUGAUGCAGCGACGCCGCGUGAGGGAUGACGGCCUUCGGGUUGUAAACCUCUUUCAGAAGGGAAGAAGCGAAAGUGACGGUACCUGCAGAAGAAGCACCGGCUAACUACGUGCCAGCCGCCGCAGUAA
rnacentral:rRNA from 1 species